rnacentral:rRNA from 1 species
GAUUAGUGGAGAACGGGUGAUUAACACGUGGGCAAUCUGCCCUGCACUCUGGGACAAGCCCUGGAAACGGGGUCUAAUACCGGAUACAACCACUGACCGCAUGGUCGGGUGGUGGAAAGCUCCGGCGGUGCAGGAUGAGCCCGCGGCCUAUCAGCUUGUUGGUGAGGUAGUGGCUCACCAAGGCGACGACGGGUAGCCGGCCUGAGAGGGCGACCGGCCACACUGGGACUGAGACACGGCCCAGACUCCUACGGGAGGCAGCAGUGGGGAAUAUUGCACAAUGGGCGAAAGCCUGAUGCAGCGACGCCGCGUGAGGGAUGACGGCCUUCGGGUUGUAAACCUCUUUCAGCAGGGAAGAAGCGAAAGUGACGGUACCUGCAGAAGAAGCGCCGGCUAACUACGUUUCCAGCAGCCACCGUAAUACGUAGGGCGCAAGCGUUGUCCGGAAUUAUUGGGCGUAAAGAGCUAGUAGGCGGCUAGUCACGUCGGUUGUGAAUAGACCGGGGCUUAACCACGGGUCUGCAGUCGAUACGGGCAGGCUAGAGUUCGGUAGGGGAGAUCGGAAUUCCUGGUGUAGCGGUGAAAUGCGCAGAUAUCAUGAGGAACACCGGUGGCGAAGGCGGAUCUCUGGGCCGAUACUGACGCUGAGGAGCGAAAGCGUGGGGAGCGAACAGGAUUAGAUACCCUGGUAGUACACGCCGUAAACGGUGGGCACUAGGUGUGGGCAACAUUCCACGUUGUCCGUGCCGCAGCUAACGCAUUAAGUGCCCCGCCUGGGGAGUACGGCCGCAAGGCUAAAACUCAAAGGAAUUGACGGGGGCCCGCACAAGCGGCGGAGCAUGUGGCUUAAUUCGACGCAACGCGAAGAACCUUACCAAGGCUUGACAUACACCGGAAAGCAUUAGAGAUAGUGCCCCCCUUGUGGUCGGUGUACAGGUGGUGCAUGGCUGUCGUCAGCUCGUGUCGUGAGAUGUUGGGUUAAGUCCCGCAACGAGCGCAACCCUUGUCCCGUGUUGCCAGCAACUCUUCGGAGGUUGGGGACUCACGGGAGACCGCCGGGGUCAACUCGGAGGAAGGUGGGGACGACGUCAAGUCAUCAUGCCCCUUAUGUCUUGGGCUGCACACGUGCUACAAUGGCCGGUACAAUGAGCUGCGAUACCGUGAGGUGGAGCGAAUCUCAAAAAGCCGGUCUCAGUUCGGAUUGGGGUCUGCAACUCGACCCCAUGAAGUCGGAGUCGCUAGUAAUCGCAGAUCAGCAUUGCUGCGGUGAAUACGUUCCCGGGCCUUGUACACACCGCCCGUCACGUCACGAAAGUCGGUAACACCCGAAGCCCGUGGCCCAACCCGCAAGGGAGGGAGCGGUUCGAA